rnacentral:rRNA from 1 species
GCCAUGCAUGUCUCAGUGCAAGCCAAAUUAAGGUGAAACCGCAAAUGGCUCAUUAAAUCAGUUAUGGUUCAUUAGAUGAUACACCACAUUACUUGGAUAACUGUGGUAAUUCUAGAGCUAAUACAUGCAAACAGAGUACCAACCGGUGACGGUAGGUGCGCUUUUAUUAGAUCAAAACCAAUACGUUCGUUUCGGCGAACGAUCUCAUUGGUGACUCUGAAUAACUUUUAGUUGAUCGCAUGGUCUUUGUACCGGCGACAAAUCUUUCAAAUGUCUGCCUUAUCAACUGUCGAUGGUAGGCUCUGCGCCUACCAUGGUUGUAACGGGUAACGGGGAAUCAGGGUUCGAUUCCGGAGAGGGAGCCUGAGAAACGGCUACCACAUCCAAGGAAGGCAGCAGGCGCGCAAAUUACCCACUCCCGGCACGGGGAGGUAGUGACGAAAAAUAACGAUACGGGACUCAUCCGAGGCCCCGUAAUCGGAAU